CGUGAUGGGGAUAGAUUAUUGCAAUUAUUAAUCUUCAACGAGGUUGCCUAGUAAGCGCGAGUCAUCAGCUCGCGUUGAUUACGUCCCUGCCCUUUGUACACACCGCCCGUCGCUCCUACCGAUUGGGUGUGCUGGUGAAGCGUUCGGAUUGGCGUUAGUGGGCGGUUUUCCGCCUCCUCUCGCUGAGAAGUUCGUUAAACCCUCCCACCUAGAGGAAGGAGAAGUCGUAACAAGGUUUCCGUAGGUGAACCUGCGGAAGGAUCAUUG
rnacentral:rRNA from 1 species